CUCUUUCUCUUCAUCCAUGUUUCUCUCUCCCCCUCCUCCUCCACCUUCACCUUCUCCUCUUUCUUCUUCUCUCUCUGUGUGUGGGUGUGAUUACUGAUCAUGGCGGCUAGGUAUGAUGGAUUCUGCAUAAGGGACUACACAUCUAAGAUGAGGUCCAUCGACGUCUUCAAAUGCUGGCCCUUCACAACCACCACCUCACGUGACGUCACACGCGAGGAAGUUCAGUCAUGGCUUCCGCCCAUGACUCGCUGCCCUAGAUCCAACCAUAACGACGCUCAAAACCCCGAGAAUCAGCCCUCAGCUAGGGAAGUUUCUAGAACCGAUGAUGAUGUCGAUGAUGAUGAUGAUGACGAUAACUGCAGCCAAGACUCGGCGAAAUCAGAGAAGUCAGCUCCUCCUUCCACCGCUGAUACAGCCGCAGACGACGAGAAAUUGGAGAUGGUCUGUCCGGUUUGCCGUGAAUUCAACGCCGCCACGCUUACGGCUGUGAACGCCCACAUCGACGGCUGCCUUUCGCAGUCCAUGAGGGAGGAGCGUCGCCACAUGAGGAUGAUGAAUUUGAAACCGUCAUCGAAGUCUAAGGCGCCGAAGAAACGCUCCAUCGCCGAGAUUUUCAAGGUGGAGGAGGAGGAGCAGGAGAAAGAGCAAGAGCAAGAGCAACAGAAAGAGCAACCACAAAUCGAGAGCGUCUUGAAAUUCUGGCCGUUCCAUGAGGAGGAUGGUACUGACGAUGAUGUGUCGAGUACAGUUACUAAGUUCCAGUGGCUGUCUCGCCGCCUCGAGGCGCUGAGAUCCAACCGCGGAGGCAGCGAAUCGGCGAAAUCGGACAAAGGAGACUCCGCGGAGGAGGAGAAGUUGGAGAUGGUUUGUCCUGUUUGCCGAGAUUUCAACGCCGCCACCGUUACCGCGGUGAACGCACACAUCGACGGUUGCCUCGCGCAGGCCGUCAGGGACGAAAGACGUCAGAUGAGGAGGACCUGUUCGAAGCCCAAAACCAAGCUGCCGAAGAAGCGCUCGAUCGCUGAGAUUCUCACAGUGGCGCCGCCGAUCGAAGCCAGCAAAAGCAAGGCGAUUGAGGUUGAGGAAGAUGAAGACAAAUCAGAUUAUUGCGGUGGGGAUUCAAGCGCUGUUGCUGAUGCUGAUGCUGAUGCUGCUGUCGUUUCGGUAAUCAAGAGCAAGAAGAGUACGAACAAGAAUAGGAAGACGAAAAAGACGAAGAAGGCGAAGAAGAAGAAGAAGAAAAGCAAGGUGGAGAAGCUUGGUGAUAGUGUUGUGUCCCUGAACAAUGAGAACAAGACGAUUGUGAACAAGAAGAAGAAGAGGAAGAAGAAAAGGAAAAAUGUCUUCAACAAUGAGCUGACUGGGAAGAAGGAAGAUGCUUACAAGUGCAUGGUGCAAACUCCAGUAAAUAGUUCUAGAAAACUAAAAGGUACAAUUGGUAAUAAAAUGGUUGCCCUUGAUGACAUUGAUCCUUCUGUUUAUAGAAAGAAGUCGAGUUUAAUUGGCUUAUCCAUUGAAAAUAAGCAAGAAGUUAAAAACUGCGACUCAGUUGGAAAGCAACAAAAAGCUGUAUCUCCUGUUUGUGGCAUUCUUAAGAACCACUUAAAACAUGUUUCUGGAACUACAUCCAGUGGCUGUAAUAUUCGAGAUGGUACUGAAGAAAGCCAUUACAAUGAUCAAGUGGCAACCUCAGACAGAAAUGUGAGAUUCUCUGGUAAAGAUGGCAUACUUAGCCCAAAAAGGAGAAAUUCAUUUUGCGAAACCAUGUUCAACAUAUCUUCAGAAGUGCUGGCUACUUCAUUAGUAAAGGAGCAGUCCUCUGGAAGUGAUGAAGAAACUGCAAGUUUUGAGGCAAACAGAAAUUAUGACCACAUUGCCAUUAAUACAGACGAAGACAAGAGAAAGGAGGUUUUCCCUAUAGUUGAAAGUAAACAGUUUUCUAAUACUCUGGAACAAGUUACUGUACGAAAUUUCUUGAAGCCGUGUACCAAUCAAGAGAAAUCAAAGCACUUAGAAGAGAAGUCUGAAUUAUUAACCAAGGUGGCAGUUUGUGACAAUAAUUUACAGCGUUUUGAUGGGGGCAACACAACUACACUGCAUUGUUCUCCAUAUGCUGACAUUUCUAGACCUCUUUCUGCAGUUCAAGAAGUGCAGAUGUCUGGUAUAAAUACACAAGUGUGUGAAUCUGGAGCUUUCUGCUCCAGUGGAAAGUUCAUUGACCAUUUGGAGGAUCCGACUUUUCAGGUUGAUGCUGUGAGGUCAAAUGCAAAUACAAAGACAUUUCUGGAGCCUUCAUCGUCUUACUAUGCUUCAUAUAAUAAAGCAAAUGAAAGAUCAGAAUCUCCAUUACAAACUUAUGGAGAUAAUGGUAAUAGUGACCAGGCCUUGGGUGACGGACAGUUGUCUAAUAUGUUUUCUUCUGAUAUGAUUGAUAGCUCAUUCCCCUUUACAGGCUGGGGGAAAAGAAAUAGCUGUUUGGAUCCCAACUUUUUUGGUUUGCCACUCAAUUCUCAUGGUGAGCUAAUCAAUUUCAGUUCAAGUGGAAAAGUAGGGAUGAAACAGCCGGAGACAUCAAGUACAUUACGAGAUUCUCUAAGUGGCUUACCCAUUAAUAAUAUGCUCCGUCAAAAUAGCGAGGAAAAUUUAAGCAUGAAUGAGAGGCAUGUUGUUCGGAGGACAUUUCCAAAAGAUGGUCUAAAUCCGUUUCCACAUGAUCCAGCCAGGUUAGCUGCCACUGAGUUCCAAUGUAGUGAGAGAGAAGAUAUCCACUGGCCUAAUUCUGAUAUGUGUUCUAGUCACCAUGUCCAGUCACUUGAUUCAAAGUUAAACCUCAAGAAAAACUUGUUCAUUGAACAGAAUCAACGUGGCCGGGUGCGGAGCCACAAUGGAAAUGGGAUGAUUUCUCAGAAAGAAUGUUCAGAUCACAUCUCACUAAGUUCUAGCCAACCAACAGUGAGGUUGAUGGGUAAAGAUGUUCCGAUUGGUAGAAGCAACAAUGAGAUGCAACAAUUUGCUGGAGAUGUUUGGACUGAUGAGGGAUCCAGAAGAAAGCAUUAUUCUGAAUAUGCUGCUUUAGAAAAUUCUUUCUUGGGAAGAUGUUCUAAGCAGGAUCGGGUAUGUGGUUCACCAUUACAAAUAUCAACUGACAAUUCAUUGCACUCAGCAAAGACUCAAAGGAAUCAGGCAUUACAAAGCACCAUAUUGAUGAAUGGUACAGACUCUGGAUUUCCUCAACAGUUUAUCGAUCUACAAAGUAAUCAUGUAUCUCAAAACGGUAGUCUUGGAGUCAGCAGAAAUGCCAGUUCUUAUUUCAACCCUAUUGCUCAACAACCUAGUUCAAUUGCAGUAUUUAAUGGCGCACCUGAUGUUCCAGAGCAGUUUAUACCUGGAGCUAAACCUCUAGGACUCAGCUCUCAGUCACAGGUGCUACCUGCUCCUUGCAAUAUUCUUCAGCCAACAUGUUCAAGCAAUGGUGAGCUGAAUGACAGGAAUAAAAACCCUCAUGUUACAAAAUCAGCCUUCGGAUUUCCUUUCUUGCAGCCAGCCGUCAAUGAACAGGCCAAAGCAUCUUGGUUUCAGAGGCCUUACAGAAGUUUACCAUCGUGGUUGUCAAGCUCAACAGAUGAAAUGCUACCAGGGACCUUUUCUCAUCAAUUUUCUGGCGUAAGUAGUCAAAGUUUUCCUCAAAACCAGUGGGGAAAUAACUUAACUACGCCAUCUGUGAAUCAUUCAGCAGAAGUUCUCCGUCCUUCUAGUGGUCUGACUUCUCUGGGUCCCAUGCUUUGUCCAGCAUCAAUUGUUCAACCUUUACAUGUUCCAGUUACACCCUCUACCUUAAAUAGCGGUUGUAGAAAUAUGAAUAUGGUCCCUGACAGAAUGAAGUUGGAUGACAUGAUCACCAAAGACCAUCAUCAUCCAUGCACAAAUACCAGGAAGAGACCUGCAGCUAAUCUUGAUGAUUCCAGAAAACCUAUCAAGUUACCUAAUAUAGAAGGUCAAGAAAACAUGAGUCGUAUGAUUAGGUUGACUGGACAAAACUCAAGCGUAGAAUUGCAACGAAACACAAGAGCAAUGGAACUUGAUCCACAAGUGGACAGUGGUAGAAGUAGAUGUCGCCAGAACAAGGCACAAAAGCUAAAUCCUACAGGCUAUCCUGCCGUUGAUUCUUUUCAACUGGAUGGCACGGUAACAUCAGGUCCUGUUCGACUUGGUCCAGGAGCGAAGCACAUCCUAAAAUCCUCUUAAAUUAUGGAUCAGGAUAACAUAAGAGCGAUAUGCAUUCUGCCACAUUCUCAUUUGCGACUGCUGACUGUGAUAGGGAUCUAGAAAUUCAGAGAAAAUUGACAAAAGUAUACAUAUUUUAGGUUGCUGAAACCGGUGGAAAACUGAUAUAAUUCAAUCCAGCUCUCAGUUUUGAAGUUUUUUUGCCUUUUACAGAAUCUUAUCACCUAAGAUGAUGCUUUCGAUAUAUAUUUUUGAGUCAGGU